rnacentral:rRNA from 1 species
GACGAACGCUGGCGGCGUGCCUAAUACAUGCAAGUCGAGCGAAGCGACGGAUGGUUGAGUAACGCGUGGGUAACCUGCCCUUAAGUCUGGACUAGCAGUUGGAAACCGAUGCUAAUACCGGAUACUAAAGGAUGGACCUACGAUGCAUUAGCUAGUUGGUAAGGUAACGGCUUACCACGGCGAGUAUGCAUAGCCGAGGUGAGAGACUGAGCGGCCAUAUUGGGACUGAGACACGGCCCUAACUCCUACGGGAGGCAGCAGUAGGGAAUAGUCCACAAUGGACGCAAGUCUGAUGGAGCAACGCCGCGUGAGUGAAGAAGGUUUUCGGAUCGUAAUGCUCUGUUGUUGGUGAAGCGGUAAUCAACCAGAAAGUCACGGCUAACUACGUGCCAGCAGCCGCGGUAAUUC